GCUAACUACGUGCCANCAGCCGCUUUAAUACGUAGGGUGCAAGCGUUGAUCGGAAUUACUKGGCGUWAARCGUGCGCAGGCGGUUUUGUAAGUCUGAUAUGAAAUCCCCGGGCUCAACCUGGGAAUUGCAUUGGAGACUGCAAGGCUAAAAUCUGGCAGAGGGGGGUAGAAUUCCACGUGUAGCAGUGAAAUGCGUAGAUAUGUGGAGGAAUACUGAUGGCGAAGGCAGCCCCCUGGGUCAAGAUUGACGCUCAUGUACGAAAGCGUGGGGAGCAAACAGGAUUAGAUACCCUGGUAGUCCACGCCCUAAACGAUGUCUACUAGUUGUCGGGUCUUAAUUGACUUGGUAACGCAGCUAACGCGUGAAGUAGACCGCCUGGGGAGUACGGUCGCAAGAUUAAAACUCAAAGGAAUUGACGGGGACCCGCACAAGCGGUGGAUGAUGUGGAUUAAUUCGAUGCAACGCGAAAAACCUUACCUACCCUUGACAU
rnacentral:rRNA from 1 species